GGGGGGGGGGAGGUGUCAAUUCCGCAGUGACAUGGGAGCCGCGGCUGCUCCUGCUGUUGGAGUCUCUGCCCGGAAGAACAUUUUGCUGAUGAGGGAACCGACCGGAGUGAGAACUGUUUCUGACCGCUCAGUCUCUUGGGGCAGCCGAGGGCUCUGCAGCCUUUAACCCUUCAGCAGCCAGCGACUCCAGAGGUGGUGACCUAGAAAACAACAGCUGCUGGUAGUGAUUGCAAUGGAACAAUAUGUGCUCCUGGACCCACGGCAGAGGGCCUUGUAUCGGGAUGUCAUGCAAGAGAGCUAUGAGACGCUGAUGGCACUGGAAUUUCCACUGUCCAAGCCUGACCUGCUUUCCCAACUGG